UACGUAGGGUGCAAGCGUUGUCCGGAAUUAUUGGGCGUAAAGAGCUCGUAGGCGGCCUGUCGCGUCGGUUGUGAAAGCCCGGGGCUUAACCCCGGGUCUGCAGUCGAUACGGGCAGGCUAGAGUUCGGCAGGGGAGACUGGAAUUCCUGGUGUAGCGGUGAAAUGCGCAGAUAUCAGGAGGAACACCGGUGGCGAAGGCGGGUCUCUGGGCCGAUACUGACGCUGAGGAGCGAAAGCGUGGGGAGCGAACAGG
rnacentral:rRNA from 1 species